AGUGAACGCUGGCGGCAGGCCUAACACAUGCAAGUCGAGCGGCAGCGCGUCCGACCACCCUCGGGUGGUCGGAUGGCGGCGAGCGGCGGACGGGUGAGGAAUGCAUCGGAAUCUGCCUCGUUGUGGGGGAUAACGUAGGGAAACUUACGCUAAUACCGCAUACGACCUACGGGUGAAAGUGGGGGACCUUCGGGCCUCACGCGAUGAGAUGAGCCGAUGCCGGAUUAGCUAGUUGGCGGGGUAAAGGCCCACCAAGGCGACGAUCCGUAGCUGGUCUGAGAGGAUGAUCAGCCACACUGGAACUGAGACACGGUCCAGACUCCUACGGGAGGCAGCAGUGGGGAAUAUUGGACAAUGGGGCAACCCUGAUCCAGCCAUGCCGCGUGUGUGAAGAAGGCCUU
rnacentral:rRNA from 1 species